rfam:Flavobacterium frigoris strain DSM 15719 genome assembly, contig: Ga0131223_106
GGGAGUAGGUCUUCCACAAUCGCUGUGCAAGCAGAGGUUUCAACGAGCCCCCUGGUGCUUUGAAAGUAAUGGAUAGGUAUUGAACGGAAAGGGGAAAAGGCUAACUAGAUUAAUCAGGU